UGGAAUCACAAAGAUAUUUUUCAGCCUGGUUAUUUUCUUGGGUUAAGCCAUUAUGAGGAGCAGUACCAAAAGGAUACAGUUGAACUCACUAAGGAUGGCCAUAUGAAAUGAUGGAAGAGACGUCAGAUGGUCAUGUGACUGUCCCUGCAUGCUGACAUUUAACAACGAUGACACACGACGGGCAAUGGAGUCUGUCAGCUGCACAGAGUUGGCAGUAGGUUUGGAUGGAUCACCAAGGAUUCUCCAGAGGCAUAAAGCUCGACUAUCAAGGGUAAAUUCUAGCCGCUGUUAUGAUUCUAAGGAUAAAGCCUAGACGAUCUGCAGCUGUCUAGUGGGAGAUAUUUCUGCGAGUUCUUGUGAGACAUGCUGUACCCCAUUUGCAAAGGAAUCUGCAUCUUUUAUAUUUGCCUCAUCAGUCAUCUCUGAACCUACAUAACUAGAGGGAAAUGUCAUCCUGCCGCUGCUACUGUGUGAUCUCCGGAGGGGAAGGACCCAAAUCCUCGGCUUUGCCUGUUACUGGCAGCUGGGGCUGGGGUCGAAGCGCUCGGCAGGGAUGGUGCUUGGUGCUCGGUGUCGGAGGGCUGGUCGGAGGCUCAAAGUUUUUGGACAGACUCAAGAGUCGGCUGUGGUCGGGUGCUUCAAGGGUGUUGCAUUGGCAAGUUUGCAGCGCUGGAAGCUCAUGGUAGUGAGAGUUUUCUUCCUUUUACCGUCUACGUGAGAUAAUGGGACUUUCAAGAGACUUUGAGACUUUAUUUUUACCAUGCCCAUGGUCUGUUCUCUAUCAAAUUAUGGUAUUGUUUGCACUGUUGUAACUAUAUGUUAUAAUUAUGUGUUUUUUGUCAAUUUUUCAGUCUUGGUCUGUCUUGUGUUUCUGUGAUAUCACACUGGAGGAACAUUGUAUCAUUUCUUAAGGCAAAGGCAUUACUAAACGACAAUAAAAGAGGACUGCAUGCCCUCAUAAUCUAAUCUAAUCUAAUCCUUAAUCCCAAUAGGCAGCCAACAAAGAAAACU